rnacentral:lncRNA from 1 species
AAGCAGAUCGGCGGCCGCGGGGAGGUUCGGGGCGGCGCAGCCCCGCGCGGUUGUGGGAUCGCUCCCGGGGGCCGCUCCUCUCUCGGGCACUGGGGUCGCGGGAGACGUCGUCGGGAGCUCGGUUUCUGGAGGCCCUUCCCCACCCGGCCUCUGCCUCCUCCACUCCCCCGGGCUGGACGGAACGGGGCCCAGCGCGGGAUGCGAGAGGUAUGAUUUCGCUCUGUCGCCCAGGCUGGAGGGCAGUGGCGCAAUCUCGGCUCACUGCAGCCUCGAACUCCUAGGCUGAAGCGAUUCUCCCGCCUCAGCCUCCAAAGUAGCCGGUACUACAGGCGCGCGCCACCACGCCUGGCUAAGGGUCUUACUAUGUCACCCAGACUGAAGUGCAGUGGCAUGAUCACAGGUCAUUGCAUCCUCAACCACCCAGACUCAAGCAAUCCUCCUGUCUCAGCCUUCCAAGUAACUGAGACCACAGAAAUAACCAUGGAUAUGGGUAGAGACAGAGCCAUAUGGAAUGCACACUGCAGUGGUGAACACAUGGCCCAGCUCUGCCAUCAAGGAGAAGGAACAUGAAUGGAGCUGGAGGCCAUCAUCCUUAGUGAACUAACACAGGAGCAGAAAACCAAAUACCACAUGUUCUCAUGUGUAAGUGGGAGCUAAAUGAUGAGAACACAUGGACACAAAGAGGGGAACAACAGACACUGAAGCCUCCUUGAGGGAGGAGGGUAAGAGGAAGGAGAAGAUCAGAAAAGAUAACUACCAGGUACUAUGGUAGCUUAGUACCUGGGUGAUGAAAUAAUCUGUACACCCAACCCUCAUGACAGAAGUUUACCUGUGUAACAAACCUGCACAUGUAUCCCUGAAACUAAAAGUUUUUUAAAAAGUUAUUUAAUAUAUAUAUAUUUUUUUGAGACGGAGUUUUGCUCUUGUUGCCCAGGCUGGAGUGCGGUGGCGCAAUUUCGGCUCACCACAACCUCCGCCUCCCAGGUUCAAGCUAUUCCCCUGCCUCAGCCUCCCUAGUAGCUGGGAUUACAGGCUUGUGCCACCACGCCGGCUAAUUUUGUAUUUUUUGUAGAGACGGGGUUUCUCCAUGUUGGUCAGGCUGGUCUCGAACUCCCGACCUCAGGUGAUCCACCCCCCUCGGCCUCCCAAAGUGCUAGGAUUACAGGCAUGAGCCACUGCGCCCGGCAAAAAGUUAUUUAAUAUUAAUGGGACAAUACUCAUUGCAAGAAUCAGACUUCAAUUGCUAGCAUAAGUAAAUGACAGGCAGGAGAUAUUGAAAAUGCAAUCUUAUAGACAUUCAAGGAGAGGACGCAGGACAUUUCUGUGUCAUAAAUGUACUAUGGAAAAUAAAAAUGAGAAAAAUGGAAAUAAAAUACAAGAAAAGGUUAUGAUAAAUUUCAUAUUAUUUUACCACAAUAAAAAAAUUUUAAUAAAUUAUAAAUGGUGUGAUAUGUUUUGCCUGUGUUCCACCCAAAUCUCAUCUUGAAUUAGAGCUCCCACAAUUCCCACGUGUUGUGGCUGGGACCCUGUGGGAGAUAAUUGAAUCAUGGGGGCAGUUUACCCCAUACUGUUCUCUUGGUGGUGAAUAAGUCUCAUGAGAGUUGAUGGUUUGAUAAGGGGUUUCCCCUUUUGCUUGGCUCUCAUUCUCUCUUGACUGCCACCAUGUAAGAUGUGCCUUUUGCCUUCCACCAUGAUUGUGAAGCCUCCCAGCCACAUGGAACUGUGAGUCCAUUAAACCUUUUUCUUUACAAAUUA